AAAUUUGGUGUUUAUAACGUCGAUAUUCGACGUCAUAAACACGGUCAACUUUGGUGUUUAUGGCGUCGAUAUUCGACGUCAUAAACACGAUAAACUUUGCUGUUUAUGACGUCGAUAUUCGACGUCAUACACACGAUCAACUUUUGAAUGUGUUUAUGACGUCGAUAUUCGACGUCAUAAACACUAUCCAGUUUGGUGUUUAUGACGUCGAUAUUGGGACGUCAUAAACACGAUCAACUUU
rnacentral:miRNA from 1 species